AUCGGAUCUGCCAAUUAGCCUUCCAACGCCCUCGAUACUCGUUGCUACUCCAGUUCUAUGCAAGGGAAAAGAACUUUAAUCCAAGUGACUGGACUUCCUGCUCCGCGGUUUGCUUCGGUGCUCGUCCGAGACGGACCCGCGAAGGUUGACUGGUUAUGUUUGGCAGAGUACUGACAGUUAGUAGGUCAGUAACGGUACACACGGGGUUCAAGAAACCCAGCUCGAAUUUACCAUUGACCAAUAGAUGAUCGGAUGACUCUCAAAGGCACGUGGAAUCAUCUCAUGAUCGGACGCGAUGGACCACUUUUGAAAAUCGCUCGUUUGAAUUUUGCCAUAAUGACCGAUACAAAAAAUAUCUACGAAAUAUAUUUUAGUAUCUUAUAUAGUGACUUGUUAAGAAUAAAAUAUUUUAAUAGCGUGAAUAUUUUGCUUCGUGUACAUAUUUACGGCAAAUUCAUGUACAAUAAAAUAUUGCAUUAAUUAUAAUUAGUUCGAUAAAAUUGUUUAAAACAAAAUAUACAGCGCAUUUGAUAAAAAUAAAUUGAUGUCCAAUAAAAAAAUAAAGUUUUAAAAAAUAAACCUUUUUACAUUAUAUUUAUAUACAAGAUUAAUUAAAAUUCUUUUCAUACGUAUUUUUUUAUAUUUCUAUGUGUAAGAGAAGUAUAUUUAAAAUUUCUGCUAUUUGAGACUUCAUUUGCAUUCAAUUUAUAAUUGACCUUUUUGAUCAUUAAUAUGUAGCGACUUUAGCGUUACAUAAUUUACAUGUUAAUUUCUGAUCGGUAACAUUAUUGUUAAGAAUUAAAUUAUUAAUGAUAAUAUAAAAAAUACAUCCGUUAUGUGACCUGCUUUUGUUCACGAUGAAAACGUUAUGACACAUUUAGCUUUUACUAAUACCAGAUCGUGAUGCGAAAGUUAAAACGACUUUCCAAGAGUUCAGGAACUCCAUUUUCUUUCACGUAGUAUGACUAUUCACGUUCAUAAAUUGUCACAGUAAAUUAUAGAUAAGAAAUUUUUCAGGAAAAGCAAUUUUUUAACGAACUUACACAUGUUAUUUCACUAAUAAAAUAUGGUUCUCCAAUAGUCCGAACAUAAUUGUACGCAUUAAUAUAAAUUCGACAGCAAUACUGAAUGAUGCAUACCACUAUAUCUACGUAGUGAAAUGAAAAUAAACAAACAAAUAUAUUUUAUUAAGACAUUUUCUAUAACAAUUUUAUUUAUCUUUAUCUUUCUUUUCUUUUUUUUUUUUUUACAUUUGUACGUAAGCCUAUAAAACAAAGCGCCAACCCUAUGUCCUCAAGCGACAACGAUGACGACGACGUGUCGACGGAACGUGUCGUGAUUAAUGAUUUUGCGGUACUUAAGCGAGACUGGUUCUCAACGGAAAAAAAAAA